UUUGUAAUAAAAUUAAAUUAUAGAAAUAACAUUAAAAUUUUAAAUAAAAGUAGUUCACAAUAAUUUAUUAUUUAAAAAACUCCCUGAAAUUUAAAAUUAUUGUUAUAAGUAUACCAUUAAAUCAUACAGAAUUUAAUUUUUCUUUCAAAUACUACAGUUAAUAAGGAAAGAGAAUAUAGUACAUAUCAAUAAAACUUUUAAAAAAGAAAUAUUGUUUGUAAUACCAAUUUUUUCUGCCCGGGCCCAUACAAAAUAAAAUACAGCAGGCCCAUCUACAGACCAAACCCAUAUUCAAAAAAAAACCUAGGCUAAGAAGCAGCAAGCUUCAGCCGCACGCCCAACAGCAGCCUCCCUAACCGCCGCCGCAUCCUCCGCGCACAUACACCUCUUCCACGGCCUCCAUACCUACGAGAAAAGCGGAUCCAAACAGCAAUAGACGCAGCCAAUAAUGAAAUAGGAUUUUUUACUUUUUUUUUGCUGUAAUUUUGGCUAUAAAAAGCCAUCAAAAAUCUGUAAAAAAGGGGAGGGAUUUUUGGAGUUUAAAAGAUACGAAAUAGAGGGAAAGAACAGAGAUCGAACUUGUUUUUUUUAAAGGUUUUUUUCGUUUUACUUUGCAGUGCCUAUUGUUUUUAUUUCCAUAUUUUUUUCUUUUAUUUUCAUUUUGUUUUAUUUAAAAUAACAAAGGAAAGAAAGAAGAGGGGAAGAUCUUACCUCUUUCGCCGGAGCUGACGAGCCGUUGCCACCACCGACGAUUGGGCCGUGGCGCAUGGGAAAUGGCGGCGCAAGGACGCUAGGAGUCCAAACCUAGCAGAGCAAAACAGGGGGGGAGGGCUUUGUUUUUUUCUCUUCGGUUGUAAUUAAUUUUGAAAGAAAAAAUUUGUUUUAAAUAACAAAAGUGAAACGGCGCCGUUUUGAUGGCCAGACCCGCG
rnacentral:lncRNA from 1 species